rnacentral:rRNA from 1 species
UACGUAGGGGGCAAGCGUUGCCCGGAUUUAUUGGGCGUAAAGGGCGCGUAGGCGGCCACGCACGUCCGUUGUGAAAUCGCUCGGCUCAACUGGGCGGGGUCAGCGGAUACGGUGUGGCUAGAGCAAGCUAGGGGGCAAUGGAAUUCCCGGUGUAGUGGUGGAAUGCGUAGAUAUCGGGAGGAACACCAGUGGCGAAGGCGGUUGCCUGGAGCUUUGCUGACGCUGAUGCGCGAAAGCGUGGGGAGCGAUCCGG